UACGUAGGUGGCAAGCGUUGUCCGGAUUUACUGGGCGUAAAGAGCGCGCAGGCGGUCGAUCAAGUCGAGUGUGAAAGCCCCCGGCUCAACUGGGGAGGGUCAUUCGAUACUGAUCGACUCGAAGGCAGGAGAGGGUAGUGGAAUUCCCGGUGUAGUGGUGAAAUGCGUAGAUAUCGGGAGGAACACCAGUGGCGAAGGCGACUACCUGGCCUGUUCUUGACGCUGAGGCGCGAAAGCUAGGGGAGCAAACAGG
rnacentral:rRNA from 1 species